GCUUAUGGCCAUACCACCCUGAACGUGUCAAAUCUUGGAAGCUAAGCAGGGUCGGGCCUGGUUGGUACUUGGAUGGGAGAAAGCAAAAAUAUAAAGUUAAAACUAAGAACGGCCGGGAGCAGUGGCUC
rnacentral:rRNA from 1 species